GACGAACGCUGGCGGCGUGCUUAACACAUGCAAGUCGAACGGAAAGGCCCUGCUUGCAGGGUACUCGAGUGGCGAACGGUGAGUAACACGUGGGUGAUCUGCCCUGCACUUCGGGAUAAGCCUGGGAAACUGGGUCUAAUACCGGAUAGGAGCCAUUUUUAGUGUGAUGGUUGGAAAGUUUUUUCGGUGUAGGAUGAGCUCGCGGCCUAUCAGCUUGUUGGUGGGGUAAUGGCCUACCAAGGCGGCGACGGGUAGCCGGCCUGAGAGGGUGGACGGCCACAUUGGGACUGAGAUACGGCCCAGACUCCUACGGGAGGCAGCAGUGGGGAAUAUUGCACAAUGGGCGCAAGCCUGAUGCAGCGACGCCGCGUGGGGGAUGAC
rnacentral:rRNA from 1 species